rnacentral:sRNA from 1 species
AGGUGGCUCACAACCGCCUGUAACUUUAGCUUCCGGCAUCUGUCGCCCUCUUCUGGCCUCUAUGAACAAGGGCAUUCACGUGCCCCACCUCCACCUACCAUGCACAGAGAUAAGUAAUAAUAGUGUAUAUAUUUUAAAACCAGCUGAAACAAAUUUGGCCUGUAAGAAACUGAACCCACGGCCUGCUUUUUUUUUUUUUUUUUUUUCUGGAGCUGGGGACCGAACCCACGGCCUUGCGGUUGCUAGGCAAGCGCUCUACCACUGACCUAAAUCCCCAACCCCAACGGGGUGCUCUUAAAGACAGAGACACUUCGAUACAUUGACACCACCCAGAAAAGAGUGGAAAGAUACAGUUCCCGAGGGUCUAAGCCAUUGGUCUGACACUCCUUUCUCUCUUGACAUCCCGGUAACCAGGAAGCUGCAGACGUAAGAGCCAAAAGCAACCAACAAGGAAGUAAUGAGACAGGGGAGGGGGGCAGAUAGGAUAUGUAUAAACUGUCAAGUUCUUAGAGUCUUCAAAACCUGUGUCACUGAACCCCCACCCCCACCCCCUCACCCACACCCUGCUUUCUUCCUUUUGGUGUUAUUUUGUUUACUGGCGAAUUUCCUUUUGAAAAUGACAAAUGUUCUCAUCUUUGCUGGAGGCAACAGGGAGAUUGGAUUGCAUGAACAUCCGAUUCUACGAAGCUUUCGAGUGGGGAGAGAGGUUACUGAGACAUCAAGAGGCAUGCUGGGAAAGCAGACUUGUUGAAGAGUUCCGGGUGGGGGACCGAAACAAAUGGCUUCCUGUUGUGUUUUCCAGAUGUAUAAACUGGGGCUUGUGUCAGCUGUCACUGACCCCAGGGGUUGCCUCAGUUGUCAGUCAUGGUAUCUGUGGAUGUGGACAACCUGUAAGGGUGAUCUCUCUUCCUCCCACCAUGAAAGGAGUGUGUGUCCAGCAGGCAAACCUGCUAAGCAUCCUCCCAUGGACUGCUGAGCUGCGUGUAACUCGCUAUGGACCGCUGGGCUCCAUGCACGGUCCACAAUUUUCUCAGAUUGAUGCCCGGCUUUGCAAUGUCUGUAAUAGACUUCUUCGCUGCUGGGUCUCCAGGACUCUAUGAGGCCAUUUCUGCAAGGAAAAGUUUGCCAAUAAAACGAGGCGUAAGGCAAGCUCAACCUUGAACAGAGCAUGAAUGGCGAGAACCAGUGUCUGAUACCCAGCAUCCAACAGGGGAGCUUACAACCAUUCCUAACUCCAACUCCAGGGACUCCAGCGCCCCCUUCUGGCCUCUGAGGCUACUGCACACAGA